rnacentral:rRNA from 1 species
GUGCCAGCAGCCGCGGUAAUACGGAGGGUGCGAGCGUUAAUCGGAAUUACUGGGCGUAAAGCGUACGUAGGUGGUUUGUUAAGUUAAGUGUGAAAUCCCUGGGCUUAACCUAGGAACUGCAUUUAAAACUGGCAAGCUAGAGUCUCGUAGAGGGGGGAUAGAAUUCCAGGUGUAGCGGUGAAAUGCGUAGAGAUCUGGAGGAAUACCAGUGGCGAAGGCGACCCCCUGGACGAAAACUGACGCUCAGGUACGAAAGCGUGAUAAGAAAAAAGGAUUAGAUGCCCCAGUAGUCC